CCUACGGGUGGCAGCAGUGAGGAAUAUUGGUCAAUGGACGAGAGUCUGAACCAGCCAAGCAGCGUGAAGGAUGACUGCCCUAUGGGUGGUAAACUUCUUUUAUAUGGGAAUAAAAUGUUCCAUGCGUGGGAUAUUGUCUGUACCUUAUGAAUAAGGAUCGGCAAACUCCGUGCCAGCGGCCGCGGUAAUACGGAGGUUCCGAGCGUUUUCCGGAUUUAUUGGGUUUAAAGGGAGCGUAGGUGGAUUGUUAAGUCAGUUGUGAAAGUUUGCGGCUCAACCGUAAAAUUGCAGUUGAAACUGGCAGUCUUGAGUACAGUAGAGGUGGGCGGAAUUCGUGGUGUAGCGGUGAAAUGCUUAGAUAUCACGAAGAACUCCGAUUGCGAAGGCAGCUCACUGGACUGCAACUGACGCUGAGGCUCGAAAGUGUGGGUAUCAAACAGGAUUAGAUACCCUAGUAGUC
rnacentral:rRNA from 1 species